rnacentral:rRNA from 1 species
UACGAAGGGUGCAAACGUUGCUCGGAAUUAUUGGGCGUAAAGCGCACGUAGGCGGCUUAGCAAGUUGGAUGUGAAAUCCCUCGGCUUAACCGGGGAACUGCGUCUGAUACUGGAUGGCUUGAGUUCGGGAGAGGGAUGCGGAAUUCCAGGUGUAGCGGUGAAAUGCGUAGAUAUCUGGAGGAACACCGGUGGCGAAGGCGGCAUCCUGGACCGGUAUUGACGCUGAGGAGCGAAAGCCAGGGGAGCAAACGGG